rnacentral:rRNA from 1 species
GACGAACGCUGGCGGCGUGCUUAACACAUGCAAGUCGAACGGAAAGGCCUCUUUCGGGGGGUCUCCAGGGGUGAAAGGGUGGGGAAAAACGGGGGAACCCUCCCCUGUUGUUUGGGUUAACUCCAGAAAACGGGGGUUAUAACGGCAAAGAGGCUCUUCUGCAUGGUGGGGGGUGGGAAAGUUUGGCGGUUGGGGGUGGGCUUCUGGCUUCUUAGCCUGUUGGUGGGGGAGUGGCUUACCCAGGCGUUGGUGGGUAGGCGGCCUGAGAGGGUGACCGGCCACAUUGGGACUGAGAUACGGCCCAGACUCCUACGGGAGGCAGCAGUGGGGAAUAUUGCACAAUGGGUGGAAGCCUGAUGCAGCAACGCCGUGUGCGGGAUGACGGCCUUCGGGUUGUAAACCGCUUUCGCUCAUGACGAAGCUUUGUGUGACGGUAGUGGGUAAAGAAGCACCGGCUAACUACGUG